rnacentral:rRNA from 1 species
AUUGAACGCUAGCGGGAUGCUUUACACAUGCAAGUCGAACGAGUGGCGGACGGGUGAGUAAUAUAUCGGAACGUGCCUAGUAGCGGGGGCUAACUACUCGAAACAGUGGCUAAUACCGCAUACCAUCGGAUCUGCCGAUUUCGGAUUAGCUAGUGGGUGGGGUAACGGCUCACCAAGGCAACGAUCCAUAGCUGUUGUGAGAGGACGACCAGACACACUGGGACUGAGACACGGCCCAGAAUCCUACGGGAGGCAGCGGUGGGGAAUUUUGGACAAUGGGGGAAAGCCUGAUGCAGCCAUGCCGCGUGUAUGAGAAGGCCGUCGGGUUGUAAAGUACUUUUGGCUGAGAAGCGGUAUCUGCAGAAUAAGCACCGGCUAACUACGUGCCAGCAGCCGCGGUAAUAC